CGUACACUCCUGCGGGAGGCAGCAGUGGGGAAUAUUGGACAAUGGGCGCAAGCCUGAUCCAGCCAUGCCGCGUGAGUGAUGAAGGCCCUAGGGUUGUAAAGCUCUUUCACCGGUGAAGAUAAUGACGGUAACCGGAGAAGAAGCCCCGGCUAACUCCGUGCCAGCAGCCGCGGUAAUACGAAGGGGGCUAGCGUUGUUCGGAUUUACUGGGCGUAAAGCGCACGUAGGCGGACUAUUAAGUCAGGGGUGAAAUCCCGGGGCUCAACCCCGGAACUGCCUUUGAUACUGGUAGUCUUGAGUUCGAGAGAGGUGAGUGGAAUUCCGAGUGUAGAGGUGAAAUUCGUAGAUAUUCGGAGGAACACCAGUGGCGAAGGCGGCUCACUGGCUCGAUACUGACGCUGAGGUGCGAAAGCGUGGGGAGCAAACAGGAUUAGAAACCCCAGUAGUCCCAUGAU
rnacentral:rRNA from 1 species